AACACUAUACACACGGUAUUACCAAGUAUAUGGAAGUUUCCAGAUUUGCGUGUACACGUACAUCUAUUUGGAUGCUGAAUGAAGCGUUUAUCACUCAACUGUGUAGUCGAUUAUCUGUUAUUGUGAUAUAGGUUAUAUGAUUAGACAAGGGAAAAUGGAUUUCAUUGGAAUCAUAUAUAUACUAACGACGGUCGUCUUGACAAGCGCGCUAAGUGUCGGAACAGCCGAUACUACGACCAGCACAUCCAAGGAUGCGACCAGCACUACCGCCAUAACAACAACAACGCAAGCUAUAUCAGGCGGUAAAGUCCAGCCUCGCUAUGCGGCAUGCUAUGGACAGAAGAUUGAAGCAUCAUGUCUGAAGGGUGAAAACAUUACUGUCUAUGAAAUCCACGUACACGCCAAGCCACUCUCGUCACUCUGUCAACUGGAUAAAGAUCCACAUCGUGCUUCAUGCUGCAAGUAUGACCCGAAUGACUGCAGCAUGGACUAUACCGGUUCGAACAGGGCUUUCAUCUUCAAAAACUGCAACGGUCGUUCAGCAUGCAUGGCGACGCCUGUGUCCUGGAUGGCGUUAAAUAGCAAAUACUGUAAACAAGAGUUGUUCCCCAGGUUUACAACCUACAUAACCAUAGACUACGGCUGCACUCCUCCUGCAGAGCAACAGAGAUUACUGUAAUCCCGUUUACAAGACUAUACAAGCCAUACAAAUAUGCUACAUUAGGGGUUAUUGAAAUCCAACGGUUUUACUUGGACUGGCGAUUUCAUGGCUCCUUUGGUGUACCUUAGGAAUGUGAAAAGGAAAUGAUCAAGUGUUUGCAAACGGUAAAUCUUACUGACCUAUAAAAAUCAAUAUUAAAAAAGAAAAGACUGGAAAAAGUAACAAAGUAGCGAUUUUGGCAUUAUAUAUUUAUUUAAAAACGACAAUAUUACAAUGCUUAUAUCUCCUUACGUGAUAGUGGUAUACAGUGUUUAUGAAUGAAUGGCACAACGUCAGAAGCGAUAUUUCCCGGUAUUAUUAUUAUGACGACAUUCAUUAAUAUGAAGAGCAUCGCGGAAUAUUGUGAUCGGUAGGUUUGUCUCAAUUUGUGUUGAGAAAAAUUACAUAUUUUUGAAUUUGGACAAACAUGUGCAUACAUACCUGCUAACACUAAAACUACGUUUUCAGCAGGGAAAUGAGGGUCAUAGAUGGUUUCAAGUUAAAUGUUACUUAUGAUGUUUUGUUUUAAACAUUUAAACGCCGAGCUUAUCGGUGGAAAUGCAGAAGAUUCGAACAAGAUAUCCGCAUUUAGCAUAGGUCAGUUGCGGUUGACCUGCACAAACGCCGAUGACUUGGCAGGUAUUUAGACUACUUUUUCUAACUUCUGACCUCAUGUUUUUUGUACAUUUAUAAUAUAGAUUGUAAUAAAAACAUAUUUUAACAUUGUUUUCCAAAAACUAUGUAUUUGUGUUGAACGGAGCAUGGUCAUAAGAAAGCGGGGUAUGUAGCGUGCCAAUUAGAAGUAGUUUAAACACAGUAAUUUAUGAAUUCAAUAUAGUUUUUCCUGUUUUCACAUAUUGGGUUGUUUUCACAUAUUGGGUUGUUUUCACAUAUUGGCACGCUACACCUCCGCUACAGGGGUACGUACGAAUACGAGUUUUUGAAAGUAUUGGAACCUAGUUAAUCAAAAAUCAACCUUCUAGGGAAAAGUUAUAUGAACAUAUUUAUUUUUGGACAAUUUAGGCCUGCUAUGUUAGCAGACAGGCGCCAAAUUAAAUUUUGAAGUCUGUACUUUUCAUUCUUGUAGACCAGGUUGUAUCUAGGUCUCCCGAUUGUUACUGGCCACUAGUUUUGUUGUAUAUAGACUAUAGACUAUACAAAUAAACCAUGCAAUACUGGUGAAAUGGAGAUAAGAGAUAAUUUAUAAUGACAACAUGUCCUUUGUAUGACACUUUUCGGAUUAGACACCAAACUUUUUAUAUAUGAACACGGAAUCAAAUUUCAAUAAUAUUAUGUUAUAUACAUGUAAUGCAAUUUAAAGGACUCAAAUGUCUAUUCUAGACAAAUUUUUGUCGCGAAGGAAAAUGUUUGGAUAGGUUUUAAUCGACAACCUUUUUAUAUACUUCAAUUCGCAUACCAACCUGUGGCAGUCUUAUCGACUACGUGUAUAUGUGAUUAACUAUACUAUGGCUUUUUUUUAUAAAAACAAUAUGAGAUAACAUUUAUUGAAUAUGAUUUAUGGUUUAAUAUUUUACAUGUUUUUAGUAAAGUGUCUCAUUUUUUUUUUUUUAUUGUGCAUUUAGUAUUUAUGUUGAGUUUUUACCGAGUUUGCGACACUAUACUAAAAUAACAUUUAUCUUUUCUAUAUAAAGUACCCGGUACAUAUUGUACUUCCUGUUACAAAAUAAAGGAAACCUACGAGCUAAACCAUGAUAUUACCAUUGUCACUUGUGUGAAUUAUUUCUUUUAGGCCUUUUGAAAAUAAGUGUUCCAUAAAAACCACAUGCUGUGGUGCAUUUUUACAUUAUUGUAGUUGUUUAAAAUUGAAUUUGUUAAAAUAUAAAAGGACACAUAUUCAAAGCCCAUGAAAAAUUGACAGAGGCAGUUACUCUCAGCCUGAAAACACCGAUUGCUUCAUAUUGUAUGCUGUAAAUAAAAGUUUAAAAAAACCUCCGAGUGGAGCUUUUCGUGAUCAUAAACGAUGCAGUGGGACCACCGUUUACCUGAAGAAGUACCCACAAGUGCUAGACACACUAAUACUAUGAUGUGUAUAUACUAUAUAAAACUGUUAUAUAGUAUAUACACAUCAGAAUAAUAUUAGUGACUCCAGCACCUGUGGAGGAACCGUUGUACAAGUGCUUGAAGUUAUAUAUGUAUAAUAACUGUUUAAUAUGCUUGCAACAGCAAGCGUAAACAUAUAUAUACAUCUUUACAUAGUAAUAUAAAUGUACACCGACACACACAUACAUAGCAUACAUACGUACGUACACGUGCGUACAUACAUACAUGUAGUUUAUGCAAUAAUGCAAACCAAAAUGGAUACUUCAGUAUGUGUCACUUUUGAUUUCUUUACCGUUUCAUUACUUAACAGCAUUAUUACAAGGGGAGUCAUCAGAACAUAUAUACAUGUGUAAAUCGAGAAUUCACCCAUGCACCCACCCACCCAUACAUACCAUACCAUACCAUAAAUGGUACACAGCAAUACAUGCAUGCACACAUAUACACAUAUACCCAUGCCUAAGAAUGUGCAAGUACAUACAUAAAAAAACCAUAAACAUGUAUAUGCAUAGCUAUAUUUCAUGUGAUUUCUUUUUAAUCUUAUAAGAUUAUAUGCCAAUCAUCAGUUUCAUCUCAUGGCAUUUUGCAUAAAGAAUAUCAUAUAUAUAUAUAUAUAUA